AGCUACGCAGUGGGCACAGAGCGAACUAUUCUUUCGCCUUUUACUAAAGAAUACCGUGUGCUCGCUGCAAAAAGUAGCAUACGCCAAUUUUUGGAGAGGUCCAACCUGUUUGGUUGGGC